UCAUAUGUUGAAACCAAUCUCCAUAGUGA
rnacentral:piRNA from 1 species